rnacentral:rRNA from 1 species
GACGAACGCUGGCGGCGUGCCUAAUACAUGCAAGUAGAACGCUGAAGGAGGAGCUUGCUUCUCUGGAUGAGUUGCGAACGGGUGAGUAACGCGUAGGUAACCUGCCUGGUAGCGGGGGAUAACUAUUGGAAACGAUAGCUAAUACCGCAUAAGAGUAGAUGUUGCAUGACAUUUGCUUAAAAGGUGCAAUUUCAUCACUACCAGAUGGACCUGCGUUGUAUUAGCUAGUUGGUGGGGUAACGGCUCACCAAGGCGACGAUACAUAGCCGACCUGAGAGGGUGAUCGGCCACACUGGGACUGAGACACGGCCCAGACUCCUACGGGAGGCAGCAGUAGGGAAUCUUCGGCAAUGGACGGAAGUCUGACCGAGCAACGCCGCGUGAGUGAAGAAGGUUUUCGGAUCGUAAAGCUCUGUUGUAAGAGAAGAACGAGUGUGAGAGUGGAAAGUUCACACUGUGACGGUAUCUUACCAGAAAGGGACGGCUAACUACGUG